CCAUCUGCACAAAUAGUUCCUUCCCACAUGAAACCCACCCACUAAACACCAUCACCUUUGUUCCUCCUUCCACCUGCUCCCCACCAGGCACAGGGAUGUGUAAAUCUCCAUUCCUGAGGGAGUGUGUGAAGGGAAGGCUUUUGCUGAACAUCACCAAGCAAGGCUGGUUGGUGAUUCCCCGGUACUCAGAGGGGAGGUCUGGAGGGCAGAAUGUGCUCAUAGUUACCAGAAAGAAGCAUCCACACAGCCAGAGGCCUUUUACCAUCUAGAGGGGCAGCUAUGGAAAGUCUGAGACCCCCAGUGCACAGGAGCUGCAGCAACUCUGUCCUCAUCAUCAGCCUCACGAGCGGCACGGACUUGAGCUCACCUGGAGGGACCCUGUUCUCACUGCUUGCAAAAAUGGUAGUCACACCUGCAGUCCCCAAAUGAUCACCUGCAGUUUCCUUUAGAGUCAGCAAUUUUCUGAGUUUUCACCUGUCAAAGGUGCAGAAAAGCCUCCCUGCAGACACUCAGGACAUCCUCGGGGAGCUGC